AGUGAACGCUGGCGGUAGGCCUAACACAUGCAAGUCGAACGGCAGCACAGUAAGAGCUUGCUCUUACGGGUGGCGAGUGGCGGACGGGUGAGGAAUACAUCGGAAUCUACUUUUUCGUGGGGGAUAACGUAGGGAAACUUACGCUAAUACCGCAUACGACCUACGGUUGAAAGCAUUGGAUCUUCGGACCUUGCGCGAUUGAAUGAGCCGAUGUCGGAUUAGCUAGUUGGCGGGGUAAAGGCCCACCAAGGCGCCGAUCCGUAGCUGGUCUGAGAGGAUGGUAGGCCGCAUGGGAAGGGGACCAGGGACAAGGGGACUGAGGGAGGGAGCAGAGGGGAACAGGGGACAAUGGGGGGAAGUAUUGUACAGUGAGAGCGAGUGGGAGAAGAAGGCGCUGGGGGUGUAAAGACGGUCUGCGGGUAGAGAAAAGCAGCAGGUUAAUACCAAGCGGGAGUGACGGUAAUGAAAGAAGAAGCACCGGCUAACUACGUG
rnacentral:rRNA from 1 species